UACGUAGGGUGCGAGCGUUGUCCGGAAUUAUUGGGCGUAAAGGGCUCGUAGGCGGUUUGUCGCGUCGGGAGUGAAAACACUGGGCUUAACUCAGUGCUUGCUUCCGAUACGGGCAGACUAGAGGUAUUCAGGGGAGAACGGAAUUCCUGGUGUAGCGGUGAAAUGCGCAGAUAUCAGGAGGAACACCGGUGGCGAAGGCGGUUCUCUGGGAAUGUCCUGACGCUGGGGAGCGAAAGUGUGGGGAGCGAACAGG
rnacentral:rRNA from 1 species